rnacentral:lncRNA from 1 species
AGGUCGCGGCGCCCCGGCAGGCGUAGGCGGUACUGUUAGCGAGCCUGCGGAGCGCAGCCCUCCCGCUGCCGCCGCCCCGGGCAGUCGCGACCGAGCGGCGAGUCGCAAUUGGCGUCUGUGGCUUAGGCGAGAGCAGAGCGUAUCGCGUGUGCAGGUCACCCUUUGUGUGACCAAGUAUCACAACUGUCAGAAAUAGAUGUACAAGAUGGGAAGUCAGGUAAAUAAUGAGAGCAAAUCACUGGCAGAUAUUUUGUACUCUGAUCUUCUACACAAACAGUUUCCAAGUGACCAGCUAAUGUUGGAGCCACAGCCACCACUUCAGAGAGCACAGGGAGCAUGGAGUCAAACACCUGCUAAUUUGACUGAGUGGGUUUGCAUCUGUUUUUGGUUUGCUUUGAGUGCCAGUCACCACUGUCUAACCUUGCUAUCAGAUGGUGUUCCCAGUCUCCUCCUAGGCUGCCUCUGUUGGUCUCAGCCAGGACUGAGUCUGCAGGGAGGGGUGGGAGACAUUCAGGCCUCCUCAGCUGUGGCAGGUGCCCACCCCAUGGCGCUGCAGGACCCCGAUGAGGCAGGCAGGCCUCCAGUGCUGGCCCCUCUGUUUGCUGCAAGAGCUCUCCUGCGACAAGGUUUUGGUACUGGGUGA